rnacentral:misc_RNA from 1 species
GUACAACACUUGGAACUCAGAAGAAUCAUGACCAAAAAGACGCGUUUUCAGAAUUUAAUCUUCCAGGCACCAAAUGCAAAACUACAACUUGUUUUUUUGUUCUUCGCCCGCAAAUUAACUCCCAUCAGCAUAUAUAUGCAACUCGCAUCUUCAUCAAGGGCGGGAUUUACCAACGUAAGCUUCAUAUACAUAGAGAAUUUACACUUUCAUGAGUGAACAAGUGAAUACAGGCCAAGCCGCCAAGUGAAAAACAACAGCCUCAUGUUGACGACCAGCAUCUAAGGAACUUUUAAUUAGUUUUCAUAGAGCUUCGUAUACCAUUUCCUGAUCGCAUAUUGGGCAUGUUUGACUUCUUUCCAUCCACUCAAGAAUGCAUGAAAGAUGAAAAUG